rnacentral:rRNA from 1 species
GAUGAACGCUGGCGGCGUGCCUAACACAUGCAAGUCGAGCGGGAUUCAUGAGGACGAAACUUCGGUCUAGAAAUCAUGAUGAGAGCGGCGGACGGGUGAGUAACGCGUAGGCAACCUGCCCUUAGCACAGGGAUAGCCUCGGGAAACCGGGAUUAAAACCUGAUAACGCCAAACGGUCACAUGGCUGUUUGGCCAAAGAUUUAUCGGCUGAGGAUGGGCCUGCGUCUGAUUAGUUAGUUGGUGGGGUAACGGCCUACCAAGACGACGAUCAGUAGCCGACCUGAGAGGGUGAUCGGCCACAUUGGAACUGAGACACGGUCCAAACUCCUACGGGAGGCAGCAGUGGGGAAUAUUGCACAAUGGGCGAAAGCCUGAUGCAGCAACGCCGCGUGAGCGAUGAAGGCCUUUGGGUCGUAAAGCUCUGUCCUAGGGGACGAACACAAUGACGGUACCCUUGGAGGAAGCCCCGGCUAACUACGUGCCAGCCGCCGCAGUAAUAC